rnacentral:rRNA from 1 species
GACGAACGCUGGCGGCGUGCUUAACACAUGCAAGUGGAGCGACCAACCAGGGCUUGCCCUGGGGCAGAGCCGCGAACGGGUGAGUAACACAUGGGUAACUUGCCCCGAUAACUGGGACAACCCGCGGAAACCCGGCCUAACACCGGCUGUGCCCCCUCGCGUACGUGAGGUUUGUAAAGUAAGCUUCGGCCUCCGCAUCGCGAUCUGGUCGCGGCGCAUUAGCUUGUUGGUGAGGUAACGGAGCACCAAGGCUACGCUGGGUAGCUGGUCUGAGAGGACGAUCAGCCACACUGGGACUGAGACACGGCCCAGACUCCUACGGGAGGCAGCAGCGGGGAAUCUUGCGCAAUGGGCGAAAGCGUGACGCAGCAACGCCGCGUGGGGGAUGAAGGACUUCGGGUUGUAAAACCCUUUUAGUUGGGAAGAAGGUCGGGCGGCUAAAAGGCGGACUGCCUGACGGUACCUGCACAAGAAGCCCCGGCUAACUACGUG